rnacentral:rRNA from 1 species
ACGAACGCUGGCGGCGUGCCUAAUACAUGCAAGUCGAACGAAACUUUCUUACACCGAAUGCUUGCAUUCACCGUAAGAAGUUGAGUGGCGGACGGGUGAGUAACACGUGGGUAACCUGCCUAAAAGAAGGGGAUAACACUUGGAAACAGGUGCUAAUACCGUAUAUCUCUAAGGAUCGCAUGAUCCUUAGAUGAAAGAUGGUUCUGCUAUCGCUUUUAGAUGGACCCGCGGCGUAUUAACUAGUUGGUGGGGUAACGGCCUACCAAGGUGAUGAUACGUAGCCGAACUGAGAGGUUGAUCGGCCACAUUGGGACUGAGACACGGCCCAAACUCCUACGGGAGGCAGCAGUAGGGAAUCUUCCACAAUGGACGCAAGUCUGAUGGAGCAACGCCGCGUGAGUGAAGAAGGUCUUCGGAUCGUAAAACUCUGUUGUUAGAGAAGAACACGAGUGAGAGUAACUGUUCAUUCGAUGACGGUAUCUAACCAGCAAGUCACGGCUAACUACGUGCCAGCAGCCGCGGUAAUACGUAGGUGGCAAGCGUUGUCCGGAUUUAUUGGGCGUAAAGGGAACGCAGGCGGUCUUUUAAGUCUGAUGUGAAAGCCUUCGGCUUAACCGGAGUAGUGCAUUGGAAACUGGAAGACUUGAGUGCAGAAGAGGAGAGUGGAACUCCAUGUGUAGCGGUGAAAUGCGUAGAUAUAUGGAAGAACACCAGUGGCGAAAGCGGCUCUCUGGUCUGUAACUGACGCUGAGGUUCGAAAGCGUGGGUAGCAAACAGGAUUAGAUACCCUGGUAGUCCACACAGUAAACGAUGAAUACUCGCUGUUUGCGAUAUACAGUAAGCGGCCAAGCGAAAGCAUUAAGUAUUCCACCUGGGGAGUACGCCGGCAACGGUGAAACUCAAAGGAAUUGACGGGGGCCCGCACAAGCGGUGGAGCAUGUGGUUUAAUUCGAAGCAACGCGAAGAACCUUACCAGGUCUUGACAUCCUUUGACCACCUAAGAGAUUAGGCUUUCCCUUCGGGGACAAAGUGACAGGUGGUGCAUGGCUGUCGUCAGCUCGUGUCGUGAGAUGUUGGGUUAAGUCCCGCAACGAGCGCAACCCUUGUUGUCAGUUGCCAGCAUUAAGUUGGGCACUCUGGCGAGACUGCCGGUGACAAACCGGAGGAAGGUGGGGACGACGUCAAGUCAUCAUGCCCCUUAUGACCUGGGCUACACACGUGCUACAAUGGACGGUACAACGAGUCGCGAGACCGCGAGGUUUAGCUAAUCUCUUAAAGCCGUUCUCAGUUCGGAUUGUAGGCUGCAACUCGCCUACAUGAAGUCGGAAUCGCUAGUAAUCGUGGAUCAGAAUGCCACGGUGAAUACGUUCCCGGGCCUUGUACACACCGCCCGUCACACCAUGGGAGUGGGUUGCAAAAGAAGUAGGUAGCUUAACCUUCGGGAGGGCGCUUACCACUUUGUGAUUCAUGACUGGGGUG